UAAGUAGGCGGAGGAAAUGACACAAACAUGGAUUCACUGGGUAACUGCGAGUGACAUGUGAUUUGCUCACGGCUGAUAUUCUUUGCUGUAUGCUUUGACAUGAGGACUUUGAGUGUGGUGCCAAUGGUGGUGUAAGUGUGAGCCAUCUUGGAAAAGAGAAGAGUGUGCACUUACAAGGGUGAGAAGCCUGUGUGUGCUUACAGAAUCUCCACAUGUGGGUCUCACUUUGAGAAUCAUGCUCUUUGGAAGUGGAGUGUAAAGUGGGCGGUAGACUCUUCUCAAAGCUGAGUACAGAACUGGGACAGACAGGGAAGAAGUACCAUGAGGGAAGUGUGAAAAGGACUUUGGAAAGAGACUUAAAAGAGCCUGUACGUGCUGAAGGAUACGCAUACAGCAUGCUUGCAUGUGAGAUGAUUGCUGUGGGUGUGCGGCUGUCUUUGACUGGAUGACUGUGGACAUGUGCCAUGGACACUUGACCACCUAUUGUGUAUCCUCUUGUGUGUGCCAGCAUGUUGGAGACAGUCAGUGUUUGAGCGCAGUGGUCGCUGUGCAUCUCAAGAUACAUCAGAUGUGCACUCAAAGAUCUGAGCAUGUUGAAAAGCAGGUGCAGAAGGGCCCUCCUGUCUGUAUGACCCG
rnacentral:rRNA from 1 species